AAUCGAAUAGGUCACUGGGAGGUGGGAGCCAGCUGAAGGGAGCAUGCUACAAAAUAUCUUGGCAUCCCCAGCCCUGCCAUGGAUCUCCGAGAUCAGACUCCCUAGGAGGGAGGGGAGCUUAUCCUGCUACCCAGUAACUGUGAUGGCCGCCAAGGUUAAAGACUACCGCAUUCAAGGACGCAGGCACAGAAGCGUGCGUCUCUUUUUAUAACUACUGCCAGAAGGUACUGAGCUAUUGCUGGGAGGAGAACGGAGAUCUUUACAAGGCCUCAAGUGGAGGGAUUGGGACACCAACCCAGUCACAAAACCUUCUACCUGCAUACUGUCCUGUCUAAAGAGUGUGCUGGGACCGGAGUCUAGCACAGUCAUCAUCAAAGAGACCAGAGAGACCUCAUCCAGCUACUGAUGGGAGCAGAUGACAAGGACCACAGCCAAAGAAGUCAAGUUCAAACAGCCUCCCUCUACAGCCAGUGCCUCAGAAGAUCUUCCUGUCUCGAAGUCCAAACCACCAGAGAUCCUUCCCCACAGCUUCAGACUGGAAAUCCCUCCCACCAGAAUGGGCCCAGGGCUGCACCCCUUGCCCUUUCUCACCAUCUUCUUCCACUUCAUCCUUCGGUUCUGAUACCAAGUCUUCACUUGCAGCUGCGUGAGCCCCAGAGACUGGGCCAAGUCCAACCUGGAAGGCAUGAGACACAAAGGAAGGGUGAGGAAAAUGCAGUGAGGGACAGCGGUGGGGACAUGCUGGCUGGCGCCUGGCACUUGCUACCAAAUCUCAGACUGCCACCAUUAACCCUGGCCAUGGCCGAGAGGAAGGGUGUCUCCCUUCUCAGAACGCUGUGUAGGGCUGGAAAACAGGAAAAGAGGGGCCACACGUAAGACCACGGGCAGAGUCCCCAUCCCAGAAUCAUUCUCUCUCUGAAAUGAACCUCAACAUCCAAGCCUUUGAUCUUCACCCCUAUAUCUAUAAAAUGUAGGCUCAAGAUCCCAAAAGCUAGAAACAGGAAGUAAAGCUGUACUUCUAUGGGAAUUCCACUCAUCUCUCCAGAUUCACCUCCGGUGUUGGUGAGCUCCCAUAACUCCUUUGACUCAGCAGUCACCCCAAUGGACCAUGCUGUCCAUGCUACUUGUGCCUCCCCAGCUCAAGACCAAGCCUUGAGCUUGUGUUCACAAAACUGCCUACUACGUCACUAGAUCCCAAAGCAGGACUCAGAAAUAUUUUUGCACAUGCAUGUGUAUAUAGUUAGGUGCAUGCAUGUUUGUGUGUGGUGUGUGUAGAAACCCAAGGUUGACGUCAAGCAUUACAUCCUACUAUAUUUAUUGGCACAGGGUAUCUUGGUGAACCCAGAGUUCCCCCAUUGCCCUGGACAGCCCCUAUUUGUGCCUGCUAAAGGCGCAAGGGUUACAGGCAGCGGCCAUACCUACCCAAUUUUUACGAAGGUUCUGGGCAUCUGAACUUCAGGCCUCGUACUCGUGAAGCAAGUGACUCGUGUGCUAAAACAUCCCCUUCAGCCCCAGGAAUGUUCCUAAAUUAUUACAAUGGUUGGAAUGUACAACCCAAUGAAGCCAUAAAUCCAUAGUCCCUCCUGCUUUCUAGGCCCACUGUAUUUCUACUUUGAAACCUUCUGGAAAGUCCUAAGGUUGAAGCCAUUUGUACAGUGAGAAGUCAUUCGAGCACACAGCAACCAUCUCCAGAGCAUGCCAGCACCCCAAACACACACUUUAAGCCACUGCCCAGUGCUAUCUUUUCACCACACCGAGCUUGGUAGGUAUAAUUAUUCCCAUUUUACAGAUAGAAGAUUUAACGCUUAGCGAGAGAGUAGAAUUUCACGAUGACAUGGCCAAGCUAUUCCUGACACUUGAUUUUUUUUCCUGUUCAAUAAAGUCUAUUGGAACGCA